rfam:Homo sapiens chromosome Y, GRCh38 reference primary assembly.
GCCGGGUGUGGUGGCUCACGCCUGUAAUCCCAGCACUUUAGGAGGCUGAGGCAGGCGGAUCACCUGAGGUCAGGAGUUCGAGGCCAGCCUGGCCAACAUGGUGAAACCCUGUCUCUA